ACAAGGGCUGGGCCCAGGGCCCAGGGAGAGGGUGGCCUCAGGUAGGAGCAUCCAGCGUGACAGGAAGGGAGGCCAAGGAUGUGGGAGUAGAUGCGGGUGGGAAGGUAUGGUAUCAGUGGGAACAUUUGAGAAUCUGUUUGCUGAGAGCCUCGUGCAGCUGGGAGGGGUCUGAUGUUUACUAAGGGCCCUCCAUGCCAUCUGCUGGGCUGCUGUUUGACCAGAGUGACUCAGAGCACUGUCAUUAGCAAAGACUACAAACAGCCUACAUGUCUAUCAGUAAGAUACCGGUAAAGGAAGUCACAGCACGCAAUGGAUACAACACUGAAAAAGUUCAAGCAAGCUCUGCAUGUACUGCUGCUAUAGGCCUUGGCGUGGUGGACACGGUUUCCAUUCCCAGGUGGGUCAUAGAUGGGAGAGAAAUUUGUUUGCAGGGGGAGUGGGCCACAGACAAAGAAGAGCCAAGAACAUAUAGCACUAGACAGACCCAAAGGGUAUCCAUCACUGGACCUCAAGACCUCUUCAUAAUCCUGUGCUGAGGAUUCUUCCCCUUGUGGUUGUUCAGCUCAAGUCCAGGGAAGGAGACUCACAAACCUUCCUACCCAUUCAUGAGACCCUAUUCACUUGGCUCCCAGUUACCGUACUAAAUUUGCCAACAAUAUGGUCCUUGCCCCAUAAUCACCUGCCUAUUCACAUCGCCCUGCAACCCUCGUCACCAGAAUGGUGUCUGUAAGACAGCAUGUAAACUUAAUAAAAGGGUCUCAGGAUAAUGCAAAGACCAUAUCUUGGCUCAUCCCUGCAGGAAACUCAUAGCUCUUGCUCCUUCACUAAUAUCUCCCACAAGCUACCCACAUGCCAUGUUAGGAGUAAAACUGACCAAACCACAGUUGCUGCCUUCUCAGAGCUCACAUCUAGUUAGGGCCAUUGACAUUUCUCUGCUGGGUCUCAGGGCUGCCAGGAGGGGGCCCACGAUAACUUUGCCCUGUUUAUUGGCAUAUCCACAUUGUCCACAUCCCAGGCCUGCCUGAAAUGCUGUCUGUUCCUUGCUGCUCUCAUGACAGCCACUUGGCAAUGGUUUCUCCUGCCUCUUAAAUGUGCACAGCAGAUACCUGUACCUCUCUCACGACACAUCACUUUCCUCUUGCAUUAUGUGUUUUGUAUGCAUAACUGAUCUUCUCUAUUCACUGUUUGUUUUUUUUCCUAAGUAGGCUCCAUGCCCAGUGUGGAGCUUAAUGAGGGACUUGAACUCACCACUCUGAAAUUCAGACUCAGACACCUAAUCACUGAGCCAUCCAGGUACUCCUACAGACUGUUUUCUUGAGGGCACAGAUCAUUUCAUACAUCUUUCUAUCCCCCAGACUACCCUACACAGUACCACGUAUAUAAUAGGUAGUCAUGAACUACUCAUAGCACAUGGCUUCCACAUAAAGAUGCCUGUUGGAUGGGUGAAGACUUGUUUGUGAAGGCACUGGGAGUUCCCAGACUUAACAAAUAAAACAUUUUAUCAUUAAUUAAAAAUUAUAAGGGUUUUCCCAAUACAAAGUUUGAACUCAAUGCAAGUAGCACAGGAUUCUCAUGUAUUCCUUAUAACUGUGUGUGUAUCCAGUUCUAUGUAAAUGUUACAUAAAUAUAAUUCAAUAUUCAGCUGUUUCUGUAUCAUAGCAUGUAAGUGCUCACAUCCUCUGUGAAUCUUAAGGAAGGAAAAGUAUCUUCUGCACUGCCUGGUGUUGGGCUUUGGACCCUCCUAGAUGCUGUGUGGUACUGAUAUAACCCAGACUACAGCUGAAAGGAGGAGAUAUGCAGCUUACGCAUCCAGUUGUGGAUAAGACUUCAGGCUUCCCUAUUGGAAUCAGCCUAUAAAACCCUCCUGUCUAGGAAAAUGGAUUUGCCCAACAAUAGGUCUCACAGUAGCUAAGGAAGGUUUCUUCAAGUAUCAGAAAUGGAGGCAUCUGGGUGGCUCAGUGGGUUAAGCAUCUGCCUUCAGCUCAGGUCAUGAUCCCAGGGUCCUCUGAUCAAGCCCUGCCUCCAUCUCUUUGCUCAGUGGGGAGC